rnacentral:rRNA from 1 species
UACGUAGGGGGCUAGCGUUGUCCGGAUUUAUUGGGCGUAAAGAGCGUGUAGGCGGCUUUACAGGUCCGUUGUGAAAACUCGAGGCUCAACCUCGAGACGCCGGUGGAAACCGUAAAGCUAGAGUCCGGAAGAGGCGAGUGGAAUUCCUGGUGUAGCGGUGAAAUGCGCAGAUAUCAGGAAGAACACCCGUGGCGAAGGCGGCUCUCUGGGACGGUACUGACGCUGAGACGCGAAAGCGUGGGUAGCAAACAGG